UUGUAAUCCUGGCUCAUUCAACGCCGUUCUUCGUUCUAGCUAGGGCUUCUCCUCUCUGGUUACGAUCUGGUUACACCAACAAACAACGUAAAGGUAAGAAACAACGUUCAUCAUCUCCUCUCUGAACAACGCUCUGGUUACGAUCUCCUCUCUAAACAAACAACGUUCAUCAUCUCCUCCGUUAAAGAAGCUCUCCAACAACGCCGUUCUUCCUUCUAGGACUUCUCCUCUCUCCGCCGGUUACGAUCUCUCCAGCUCUGUUAGGGAUUUUUGGGUCUUCCUUGAAGCAUUGGAUUGACGUUGGUGCGGGGGUGAUUGACGACGAUCUCAGACACUAUAAUUUUGUGUUCCAUUUCGUGAACAAUUACUAGAGUAUUAUGGAAAUAACAAAAGCAUUGGGGAGUUGGAAGAAAAUCUUUUAACUUGCUUAGCUGACUUAUUUUCACAGAAGAAAAUUCAUCAGAGAUAAGACAUUAUUUGUUGUGGCAAGUAAAUGGAAGUGGAGAUUCUAAGCAUGUUUCAGUACCCAGCUUUAGUUUCACUUCUUGUUCAUUGUUAUUAGUGGAGAAACCUUGUUUCAUUGUUCGCGUUGUUGCAGCUCGUUUAUUAGAAUCUUUGUAAGAGGAAUCAAGAAAUUCGGCAAAAACAAAUAAUUCCUCAUACUUCAGGUGCUAAAUCAAUUGCAAGAAGAAGGGCUGAAUUGACGGAAGAGACGGGAAAAGAAGUUAGUAGGGUUCAAAUGUGGGAUAUCACUCACAAGAAAAUAGAUGGAAGUUAUGUUAAUGAAAAGGCUAAAGAAAUAGCGGAGAAGAUUGAAGCAUAUAGUAGUCAACAAGCGGUGGAAUUAACCGUUAAUUCUCCUCUUGAUGCUCUUGGAGUAGUUCUUGGGAAAGAGCACCCUGGUCGUGUUCGAGGUUUAGGCGGU